UACGUAGGGGGCAAGCGUUGUCCGGAUUUAUUGGGCGUAAAAGGCUUGUAGGUGGCCACGCCAAGUCGGAUGUGAAAUCUCCCGGCUCAACUGGGAGGGGUCAUUCGAUACUGGCGGGCUCGAGGCCGGUAGGGGGAAGUGGAAUUCCCGGUGUAGUGGUGGAAUGCGUAGAUAUCGGGAGGAACACCAGUGGCGAAGGCGGGUCUCUGGACAGUUCCUGACGCUGAGGCACGAAGGCCAGGGGAGCAAACGGG
rnacentral:rRNA from 1 species